rnacentral:tRNA from 2 species
AUUUAAAUAGCUUAAUGUCAAAAGCAUAACAUUGAAGUUGUUAAUAUGAUAUUCGUAUCUUUAAAUA